rnacentral:lncRNA from 1 species
GGCAAGUCCCUUAGCCUGCUUCCUUACCCAUAAAGAGGGAGGGUAAAGUCCCAUAGAAUUGUGGUGAAAAUUAAAUAUUUGAUGUACUUAAUAGUGUCUGAGGCAUUUAGUUUUCAGUCUAUGCUAUUAUUAACCACUGUAGAGUCUCUUUUGUGAAGUUGUCGAAUUAGCCAGAAACUAUUUAAAAAGAUUUCCUAAUAAUUUAUUUUAGUACAAUCUCCUUUUAUCCUUUCAGACUUCUUAACCAUCACUUUAGCUUAGGGGUAUAAACGUAUUUACUGUGUAGAUUUUUCUCCAUUCAUGGGUACUGUGACCAUAUUUCCGAACCACGGACAAGGAGACUCGAUUUGAAUCCUGGUAUGUUAGUGGAAAAAAUAUUGGAGAUUGUGACUGUCCCAGAAAUUUUUAGUUAUAUGUCAUCAUAUCUGUGGGAAACAUAGUAUACCUAAGACGGCUGGAAAGGAAGUUUAGGGGAGAGACCCACACUUAAGAAAACUGAGUUUUUAGAUUAUAGACAUGAUAGUACGGUGAUUUCUUAAUGCUCUUUCAUCACUGGGCAUUUGAUAUGGGUUACAAUAUGAGCUAUGGGCUAAGAUUAAGAAAAUUAUUGUUUUCUUUUUAGGUGGAAAAUUAUGCAUACCAUAUCGGUAACUUAACAGAGGGAAGAGAAGCAUUUUCUCAUGUUUAUGAAAAGGAAAAUGAACAGCUUAGACAUGAGUUUAAAAAGCUCCAACUCAGGAACCCCAACUAAAGAAGAUUGAAGAAAUGUUAUAUCUAGAAGGCUUGUCUGAAAUAGCUCUGAGUAGUUCCAGUGAACAAACUGCAUACUUAUUGGUGGAGAGAAGUACACUCUUGGGGAAACUGGAACUUAUGGACUCCAAGUCAGAGUCAACAAGAUGUGUGAGCAAUAACCUACAGUCCCUUAAUGAACACCUGGAAAAAGAUAAGACAUUACAGAACUACUUAGAGAGAGAUAUGGAGCAAGCAGCAAAGUCAUUAGGGAUAGCCCAUGAAGAGAUUCGAAGACUUACUGAUGAAUUAAAAGUGAAGGAGAAAGAGCAGAGUAAAUUAGGUAAGCCGUGGUUACAAAUAUUACAUCCUCAUGGUAUAAUGAUUUUUUUAAAAAAAGAUUUAUUUAUUAUUUUUCCUUUAUUUUAUUUAUUCUCCCCUGCCUUGUUUGUGCUUGCUCUCUGCUCUGAGCUCUCCGUGGUGCAUGGGCCAUCAGUUCUCUGCAGAGGCGUGGUCCAGCUUGUCUUCACCAUUAGGCCCUGGGAAUCCAACCCCCGGUCUCCCAUAUGGUAGGCCAUAACCCAAUCGCUUGAGCCUCAUCUGUUUUCUAGUGUAAUGAUCUUUUAAUGUUUUUAUUUAGAUUUUUGCUCCAU